UUCUCACCCCCUUACCUCUGCCAUUUUGUUCGCUAGCUUCCUGGUUUUGUUCGCUGGGUUGAAAUUGAUAGAUAUAAAUAUAAAACAAUUACUGCAAUAUUAAUUUGUCAUCACUUUAAGUAUUUUAAAUAAUUUUGCUUUAGAAUUUGUUUAUUGCAUUGUUUAAUACUUAGUAUAAUAUUGUUGUUUUUGUUAAAUUAAAUUGUAUCUAAUCAUACUAUUCUUUUUUCACAGCUACUAAUAUGUUCAGUCCCGCGGUUGCGAGGAAAUUUUUUUUUUCUUGCAGAUGCCAGCCGAUCUUUCUCGCGACUGAUCCCCUCAUUUCGACGGAUACAGAGGCCUACCCGGUUUACUGCUAGGAAUCGACUUCAGCAGGCUCAGCCUUUCAGGACAUUGGCUACAAUUAUAAAGUGAACUUGGUACCAUACGUUGCACAUAAUAUAUAUGUGUAUUGCUAUUCGAAACGAGUGAGAAUUAUAGAUGAGCAAUAAACACCUGCGAAUUGAAAGGAGUCAUAACCAUGGAAUAAUGACAUUCUUCAUUAUUUCAUUACAUUCUUCAUUAUUUGGGUUAAAAUGUUUACUCCUGUACAAGGAUACAUAUAUAAUUGAUGUGUUUAAUUACAUUAUUGAAAUAUUAAAAACUUAUAACACCUACAGAUACUUUAUAUAUAUUUGCAAACAUUACAUUUCAAGUUCAUAUCAUUUGGCAGUGUCUGCAUAUAAAAAAAAAUAUAUGCAGGGCUUCUACAUUAUGGUAGCCCCACUCCCAUGGUUAGUAAUAUUCAGUGUUGGGCUAGCAAAUAACUACUGUCUUAUUUUGUAAAUAUGAAUAUCCUGCCCCCUCUUGUCACCCCCAAUCUAGGGGUUUUUAAGGUCUUAUCUGUUUAGACAACAUAUAUGAUUAUUACUAUUAGUGAAAUUGUAUAUAUUUAAAGUGGGGCUAGUUAAUUUUUAAUCAUGGAUAGUACAUUUUUAAAAUCACUGAUCCAUGGCUAAGGGAUUUUUUUUAUAACAUUCUAGAAGCCCUGAGUAUAUGUGAACAACAGUUUCACUAAUUGUUGUAUGGAUAAUUAAAUAAUUAAUUAUUAAAUGUAAUGGUUGAAAAUCUAGCUGGGUUACAGCGACCCCAAGAUGAUUGACCACAUUUUAUAAGUCAUUGGGAAUCUGGGUUUAACUACUUUCAGUUAAUACAUUAUCGUUCUGUCAGUCAAGGUGGCACUAGAAGAAGCGUCUUUCUUCUUGAAUGCAAAAUAAAACUUAGUAAUUAGAAAAACCUUUUUGUUCUCAUACCCUGACUGAUGACCAGUUAUGGUUUUAUGUAUAAAAAAUUACAUGAAAGGCCUAUUGAGAACAAAAAUUAUUUUAGAAAUGCUGACAAUUAGGCCGAAACCUUUUGGGUGACGCAAUAUUAAAAGAAAUUGAAAUUGAAUGUGUAGGUAAUAUUUUCAAUUUUCUACAAUAUAAUUGUUUUUAAAUUAAAAAAUUCAGUACUCCAUAAAUUAUUCAAUGGAUUGUCUUUUCUAUAAAAUUAAAGUAACAGUAUUGUACUUUUAAGUUAGUGUGUAUGUACACUUGACUUACGUCACCACAAAGGUA